rnacentral:rRNA from 1 species
UACGUAGGGUGCGAGCGUUGUCCGGAAUUAUUGGGCGUAAAGAGCUCGUAGGCGGUUUGUCACGUCUGCUGUGAAAUCCCGAGGCUCAACCUCGGGCCUGCAGUGGGUACGGGCAGACUGGAGUGCGGUAGGGGAGAAUGGAAUUCCUGGUGUAGCGGUGGAAUGCGCAGAUAUCAGGAGGAACACCGAUGGCGAAGGCGGGUCUCUGGGCAGUAACUGACGCUGAGGAGCGAAAGCGUGGGGAGCGAACAGG